UAGCAUAUCAAUAAGCGGAGGAAAAGAAACCAACAGGGAUUGCCUCAGUAACGGCGAGUGAAGCGGCAACAGCUCAAAUUUGAAAUCUGGCCCUAGGCCCGAGUUGUAAUUUGCAGAGGAUGCUUUUGGUGCGGUGCCUUCCAAGUUCCCUAGAACGGGACGCCAGAGAGGGUGAGAGCCCCGUACAGUUGGACACCAAGCCUUUGUAAAGCUCCUUCGACGAGUCGAGUAGUUUGGGAAUGCUGCUCAAAAUGGGAGGUAUAUUUCUUCUAAAGCUAAAUACCGGCCAGAGACCGAUAGCGCACAAGUAGAGUGAUCGAAAGAUGAAAAGCACUUUGAAAAGAGGGUUAAACAGCACGUGAAAUUGUUAAAAGGGAAGCGCUUGUGACCAGACUUGCGUCCGGUGAAUCACCCAGCUCUCGCGGCUGGGGCACUUCGCCGGCUCAGGCCAGCAUCAGCUCGCUGUCGGGGACAAAAGCUUCAGGAACGUAGCUCUCUUCGGGGAGUGUUAUAGCCUGUUGCACAAUACCCUUCGGCGGGCUGAGGUACGCGCUCCGCAAGGAUGCUGGCAUAAUGGUCAUCAGCGACCCGUCUUGAAACACGGACCAAGGAGUCAACCUUAUGUGCGAGUGUUCGGGUGUCAAACCCCUACGCGUAAUGAAAGUGAACGCAGGUGAGAGCUUCGGCGCAUCAUCGACCGAUCCUGAUGUUCUCGGAUGGAUUUGAGUAAGAGCAUAUAGGGUUGGACCCGAAAGAAGGUGAACUAUGCGUGUAUAGGGUGAAGCCAGAGGAAACUCUGGUGGAGGCUCGCAGCGGUUCUGACGUGCAAAUCGAUCGUCAAAUAUGCGCAUGGGGGCGAAAGACUAAUCGAACCUUCUAGUAGCUGGUUUCCCC
rnacentral:rRNA from 1 species